UUUUUUUUUAGUUUUCG
rnacentral:sRNA from 1 species